UACAGAGGUCUCAAGCGUUGUUCGGAAUUACUGGGCGUAAAGGGCUCGUAGGCGGCCAACUAAGUCAGACGUGAAAUCCCUCGGCUUAACCGGGGAACUGCGUCUGAUACUGGAUGGCUUGAGGUUGGGAGAGGGAUGCGGAAUUCCAGGUGUAGCGGUGAAAUGCGUAGAUAUCUGGAGAAACACCGGUGGCGAAGGCGGCAUCCUGGACCAAUUCUGACGCUGAGGAGCGAAAGCCAGGGGAGCAAACGGG
rnacentral:rRNA from 1 species